UUUAAUUCUGUCAUUGUUGUAGCGAAGCGGUUCAAAACGUUUCCUUCACACUCUGCCUCCUCUAAGGUCGAAACUGGAGCUAAAGAAGCUGUACUAUAUAGUUCACAUACAUAAUUGAAAACAAGAGGAAGUUUGGAUGGGAAGUCGUCUCGAAUCGAGUUGUGACAGCGACGUGUGACAUCUUUUUCAAAGGACUCUAGAACUUCUGUCACUACAUAAACUGAAAGAGUUAUUAGCAGAGUACCGAUCACCAGCCACUUUCUACUCAAGCAAAAACACCAAACUUAUUUGGUUAUUAAAUACCUUUGGCUCUCUGGUCAACCUGAGGAAUUUUGGACCCUUCUUCCCUCAAGAUCAAGUCUGGGCGAGUCUAGAUGUGCGCAAACGAACUAAGAGAAGUGAAAGUUGAGGAUGCUUUACUUGAACAGCCUGAGCCGAGGGCUGACUCGCACAGCAUCACCUGUCAUGACAUCUGUAAGGACACAGACCAUCGUAAACUAGCCAUCUGCAGCAUCAUAUGUGGCCUCUCCUGCUUUGGAAUUAUGUCCCUCAAGUACUCCGUCAAGGCUCGAGAGACAAGAAAAAGACUUCAAAAUGAAGACUGUCCAGAAACACGAGAGAUGGUUAAGAAAUA